GCGCCCGUAGCUCAGCCCGGAUAGAGCAGUAGCCUUCUAAGCUAUUGGUCGCAGGUUCGAAUCCUGCCGGGCGCGCCA
rnacentral:tRNA from 1 species